rnacentral:rRNA from 1 species
GAUGAACGCUGGCGGCGUGCCUAAUACAUGCAAGUCGAGCGGUAAGGCCCUUCGGGGUACACGAGCGGCGGACGGCUGAGUAACGCGUAGGAACGUACCCCAAAGUGAGGGAUAAGCACCGGAAACGGUGUCUAAUACCGCAUGUGGUCUAAGGAUUAAAGCCUUCGGGCGCUUUGGGAGCGGCCUGCGUAAGAUUAGCUAGUUGGUGAGGUAAUGGCUCACCAAGGCGACGAUCUUUAGCUGGUCUGAGAGGAUGAUCAGCCAGACUGGGACUGAGACACGGCCCAGACUCCUACGGGAGGCAGCAGUAGGGAAUUUUCCACAAUGGACGAAAGUCUGAUGGAGCAACGCCGCGUGCAGGAUGACGGCCUUCGGGUUGUAAACUGCUUUUAUGAGUGAUGAUUAAGACAGUAGCUCAAGAAUAAGGGUCGGCUAACUACGUGCCAGCCGCCGCCGUAA